rnacentral:rRNA from 1 species
CCUACGGGUGGCAGCAGUAGGGAAUCUUUCACAAUGGGCGAAAGCCUGAUGGAGCAACGCCGCGUGCAGGAUGAAGGCCUUUGGGUUGUAAACUGCUUUUAUAAGCGAGAAAUAUGAUGGUAACUUAUGAAUAAGUAUCGUCUACCUACGUUCCAGCAGCCGCGGUCAUACGUAGGAUCCGAGCAUUAUCCGGAGUGACUGGGUGUAAGGAGUUGCGUAGGUGGCAUAAUAAGUAGCUAGUGAAAUCUGGUGGCUCAACCAUUCAGACUAUUAGCUAAACUGUUAAGCUCGAGACCGUUAGGGGUAACUGGAAUUUCUAGGGUAGGAGUGAAAUCCGUAGAUAUUAGAAAGAAAACAGAUAGCGUAGGCAGGUUACUGGGACGGUUCUGACACUAAGGCACGAAAGCGUAGGGAGCAAACGGGAUUAGAUACCCUGGUAGUC